rnacentral:misc_RNA from 1 species
AACGAGGCCGACCUGCGGCUGAGUUACCUGCGGAAGGAUCAUUAAAAAACUUUGCCCGCGGACCUUGGGUCCAAGGCGCAAAACCCACACUAUGUGCACUGUUAUCGUUCUUUUGGCAGAGGCUUGGGGUGUCUUCCAACUUGGGGAACCUCAACUUCUCGUCUAGUUCUAUCCACCUCGGACAGCUGGACAUGAGAAGCAGUUACUCUGCCAAGUGACCCUUAAAAACACGCUUUUUUG